GACGAACGCUGGCGGCGUGCUUAACACAUGCAAGUCGAACGGAAAGGCCCUGCUUUUGUGGGGUGCUCGAGUGGCGAACGGGUGAGUAACACGUGAGUAACCUGCCCUUGACUUUGGGAUAACUUCAGGAAACUGGGGCUAAUACCGGAUAGGAGCUCCUGCCGCAUGGUGGGGGUUGGAAAGUUUCGGCGGUUGGGGAUGGACUCGCGGCUUAUCAGCUUGUUGGUGGGGUAGUGGCUUACCAAGGCUUUGACGGGUAGCCGGCCUGAGAGGGUGACCGGCCACAUUGGGACUGAGCUACGGCCCAGACUCCUACGGGAGGCAGCAGUGGGGAAUAUUGCACAAUGGGCGGAAGCCUGAUGCAGCAACGCCGCGUGCGGGAUGACGGCCUUCGGGUUGUAAACCGCUUUCGCCUGUGACGAAGCGUGAGUGACGGUAAUGGGUAAAGAAGCACCGGCUAACUACGUG
rnacentral:rRNA from 1 species